CCCCUAGGUCACUUGGGCCUAAAGCACAAAGUAUGGCAGGCACAUUCCCUUUCAUACUUAGCAGAACUGCCUUGGCCAUGCCCAGGGACAUUCUUGCUGUUUACUGAGCAAUGCUCUGCCCUACCCCAUUUAAUAUGGAUGUUAUAAGGCCAAAAACUCAAGACAAGUACAGCCCGGAAGAGGCAAAACAGAAAAGAUAACAAAAAGGCAGCAUGUGGGCUGCAGUGAUCCAAACACCCCAGGAGUCUGUCUCAGUGUACAGCAGCAGGCAGCCUCCCGGCUCCUCUGAGUGACCCCAGAGACCCUUGGAGUGUUCCCAGCAAGAGGCCUAAGCAGGCCCUGUUUGACCAUCCCUCCUUAUGGUUCCUGCAUAUCUGGAAGGAAGAGCUGAGUCCCUGGCUAUACCCUGCCAUAGCCUGCUUUCUCCUAGAAAUCCACUAAUUUUCUGUCCUGUGCAGGUGGGGCCAAAGCCCCUAAGACAAGAAGUCCUUAAGAUAGGAAUGCCCCUGCUUUGAUACCUCUGAGCCCACACUGGGGGAUUGGGACAGGGUCUGCACUGGGGGUGUCAGACAUUCAGUGAAUACUUGCUGAAUUAAAAGACUUGUUUUCUUUGAAAGCUGUGGGACAAUGAAACAUAAGGCAUAUGGCUGGCAGCCGGGGGUCGUCUGCACCCAGGGGGCUGUAAGUACACAAACAGCUGCUGGUAGUGCACCCGGACCCGAGCUCAGUUAGAUAGCCCCAGUGGGUGAAUGACUAACCUUAGCAUCCCCAGUGACUUCACAGGGGCUGGGAAAAGGUUUCCAGGCCUAAUGGGCCUUGAAAGGCAGUUA
rnacentral:lncRNA from 1 species